rnacentral:tRNA from 1 species
CAACCCAUACGCGUCCGUAAAACGCCCAUGGGCGGGCACCCGCGCCCGAAGGGAAGAGAACCCCCGCCCCCCCCCACACACCACGAAAACACCCGCGACGCAUUCCCCACCCACCCACCCCUUUCCUUUCCCCGCCCGACCAAAGCCUGCACCAACGCCGUCGCGCGAAUGGGCCUUUCCCCCGCCCCCGCCUGGUUCAGGGUGGGGGAAAAGUGUGACAAGAGUGGGGUUUGAACCCACGCCUCCAGGGGAGAUCACGACCUGAACGUGACGUCUUAGACCACUCGACCAUCUUGCCUCGGGAUAAUAUCCAGAGCUUUGUAUACCGACAGGGUCGGUAAAGGCGCAAAAAAGUAUAGCACCGAUUGGUUUCGAUCCAACGACCUAUGGGUUAUGAGCCCAUCGCGCUUCCACUGCGCUACGGUGCUGCUACAAAUAUCUAGACGUACACGAGAAGUCAAAGUCGUGAACGGACCCGCCAGUCUCUCCUUCGCAAAACUUUGUGUACGACCACACUUGAGUGAAAACACCAUAUCCCGUCCGAUUUGUGAAGUUAAGCACUCACAGGCUCAGUUAGUACUGAGGUCAGUGAUGACUCGGGAACCCUGAGUGCCGUACUCUUUUUUUGGCGGGCCCCAUCGCCCGCUUUCGCCAAUCCAGCGAGGAAGGCAUGGCGUCGCCGCCCGAAAAUUUCAUGGACCCCGAUGCUUGCGCCCACCCCUUUUCGCGCACGCCUCGCCGGAAACGGGCGCACGCAGACUUUCAGCCCAGCGUUGUCCAAAAGCGGCCACGCGUCAAGACGCCACGGCGCCCCCAUCUAACGACGCACGGCGCUUUUUGUCACGCAAGCCUCCCCGAGAACAAGGCCAACAAGAACCCCCAUUCCUCUUGCGGAGGAUUGUCCCAAACACAAAACCCCGAAGGCCCCGCGUACGACACGCACGUUUCCGGGAAAGACGCCCCACCAAACCCCAGAGACCAAUAUAUACAAACCGACUCCUCUGACCCUCGAAACACCAAGAGCGCAACAGCUCCGAGAAAACACCCACAAUUCCAUAAAAAACGCCACCUUCCAGGCAGUCACCCCCAGUUUUCGGCAACGAAAGAAAACGAAGCCCCGCCCCAGCAAAAAGGCAGAACCCCACCAUCACCGACCCACCGAAACGCACGAGGCCCACAGCACAAGAAAGCGGAGAGACAACCGCCACCGUAACUAAAAACCCGGAACCAAACGCCGCUUUAUCACGGCCUAUCCUUGAUUCACUGACGAAAAAAGCCCUUUUAUUCCCCCCCCCCAAAAAAAAAAAUUCUUCACAGCCAAGACUGCCGAGGUGGUGCGGCUUUCCAAAAAUCAUUUGCAACGCGUUCUGCGCAUGAGAGAAAAAUCCAUUUUUUAAGCCUUGGUUUACGAUUCCUGAAAGAGUCCGAAAAAAUCAAGAUAAGCGUACAAACUGUUUGCAUUCGCCUCGCUCUUACCAGCACCCAAGCCCAUUUUUCACCAACAGAAAGUUAAGCUACCAGCCGCGGCGUUAGUUUUCGAUGUUUUCUGGGCGUCAAAUGUCCCGACCCGAGCCGGAAAUAGCCACAAAGCCGCCGCAAAAAUUCAAAACGAAAAAAACAAGCCCCGCUUUUAAAAGAGACGCACAAAAAGCUUUGGUUGCUCCAAAAUUUGCUGCGCAAAACCCCGGCAUGGGGAAAUCACCGUUUCCUUGAACACAGCAUCGCUUUACAGAAAC